GAGCGCCAGAUGGGUCUCCGGAGAUU
rnacentral:sRNA from 1 species